GGACCCGCACAAGUAGUGGAGCAUGUGGUUUAAUUCGAUGCAACGCGAAGAACCUUACCAGGGUUUGACAUCCUGCGAAUCUCUUGGAAACGAGAGAGUGCCUUCGGGAGCGCAGUGACAGGUGGUGCAUGGCUGUCGUCAGCUCGUGUCGUGAGAUGUUGGUUAAGUCCCGCAACGAGCGCAACCCACGUCUUUAGUUGCCAGCAUUCAGUUGGGCACUCUAGAGAGACCGCCGGUGAUAAACCGGAGGAAGGUGUGGAUGACGUCAAGUCAUCAUGCCCCUUACAUCCUGGGCUACACACGUACUACAAUGCUACGGACAAAGGGCAGCAAGUUCGCGAGGAC
rnacentral:rRNA from 1 species